rnacentral:rRNA from 1 species
GCAAAACGCGAAGAACCUUACCUACUCUUGACAUCCAGAGAACUUUCCAGAGAUGGAUUGGUGCCUUCGGGAACGUCAGAGACAGGUGCUGCAUGGCUGUCGUCAGCUCGUGUUGUGAAAUGUUGGUUAAGUCCGCAACGAGCGCAACCCGUUAUCCUUUGUUGCCAGCGGUUAGGCCGGGAACUCAAAGGAGACGUGCCAGUGAUAAACUGGAGAAGGUGGGGAUGACGUCAAGUCAUCCAUGGCCCUUACGAGUAGGGCUACACACGUGCUACAAUGGCGCAUACAAAGAGAAGCGACCUCGCGAGAGCAAGCGGACCUCAUAAAGUGCGUCGUAGUCCGGAUUGGAGUCUGCAACUCGACUCCAUGAAGUCGGAAUCGCUA